rnacentral:rRNA from 1 species
UACGGAGGGAGCUAGCGUUGUCCGGAAUUACUGGGCGUAAAGCGCACGUAGGCGGCUUUGUAAGUUAGAGGUGAAAGCCCGGGGCUCAACCCCGGAAUUGCCUUUAAGACUGCAUCGCUUGAAUCCGGGAGAGGUGAGUGGAAUUCCGAGUGUAGAGGUGAAAUUCGUAGAUAUUCGGAAGAACACCAGUGGCGAAGGCGGCUCACUGGACCGGUAUUGACGCUGAGGUGCGAAAGCGUGGGGAGCAAACAGG